AAGUGGGGAGGCCGGAGGAUGUGGUCGAGCGAGAGGGGAGUUGGGGCGCGAGGGCAACGGCUGGCGGGAAGGUGACAGAGCAGGCGACACAGGCUCUCUGAGCUCCUGGAGGUGCGUUAGGAGGUGCGAAGGUGUAUAAUGGGAGCAUUGGAACUCUGCCAACGUUUAGCUACCUAUGAGAGGGCCCAGAGGAGGGGUAGUUGCUUCCCUCUCCCUUAAUCCUCCCUACCACCCAGCUACCUACGACGGGCUGUGCAUUAAGAUAAGGAAAUGCUGAAGCAAGAAGCUGAACCCCCGUCCACUCACUCACUGUCCCAUGUGCCAGCUUCCAUCCACAGAACCCGGGAUCGGAAGACCCACCCCAGCAGGGUUCAUGUGAAGCUUAUGGUCAGAACCUGAGGCAGAGCUGAGCACAGCCCUCCACCAGCGGCAGCAGAGUAUGCAGCUGAGAAAGGCCCUAGGAAGCAAAGAGCCUUUGAAGUUCUGCUCUUACAAAACAAACCUAUAAGAGCAUCCACGGACUAGAGAACAUUCCAGAGGGGACCUGCAAGAGGGCAGAACUACAAGAUGAACAAGACCAGGAGUCAGCCCUGUUCUGAAUCUUUGCUCUAGCUUGUAUUAGCUGGGUAAUCUUCGACCAAUGCCCUUACACUCUUGCAGCCUUGUGGCAGAGAAGUCUGUGCUUUCUCAAACCGUUUCCUUUUCUCUGGCCACACAGGAGAAGCCAGCAUGGUCCUGUGACUGAUUCUGGCCAAUGGGAUGGAUGUACAUGGUACAUCCAAGGCUGUGUUAAAAUGCUUUUGUGUUGCCACUGGAAGUCUCCCGCACCCCCAAAUAAUUAUGUUUUUCUAAUACAAAAAGUAUGACAUACUUACUGUGAAAAAUUU